UGAACACAAGACUUUUGGUCAAGAAGCUGUGGGAUACAUUUCACAUUCCUGUUUUCACUCUUGUCGAUGCCGAUCCACAUGGCAUAGAAAUAAUGUGCAUCUACAAGUAUGGAUCUAUGGCGAUGUCUUUUGAGGCCCA